GACAGAGGAUGCAAGCGUUAUCCGGAAUGAUUGGCGUAAAGCGUCUGUAGGUGGCUUUUAAGUCCGCCGUCAAAUCCCAGGGCUCAACCCUGGACAGGCGGUGGAACUACCAAGCUGGAGUACGGUAGGGCAGAGGGAAUUUCCGGUGGAGCGGUGAAAUGCGUGAGAGAGUCGGAAAGAACACCGGAGGCGAAGGCGGCUGCUGGCGUGAUCUGACGCUGAGGCGCGAAAGCGUGGGGAGCGAACAGG
rnacentral:rRNA from 1 species